rnacentral:rRNA from 1 species
UGAGGAAUAUUCCACAAUGGGCGAAAGCCUGAUGGAGCAACGCCGCGUGCAGGAUGAAGGCCCUCGGGUCGUAAACUGCUUUUAUGAGUGAAGAAUUUGACGGUAACUCAUGAAUAAGCACCGGCUAACUACGUGCCAGCAGCCGCGGUCAUACGUAGGGUGCAAGCAUUAUCCGGAGUGACUGGGCGUAAAGAGUUGCGUAGGUGGUCAAGUUAGCGAAUAGUGAAAUCUGGUGGCUCAACCAUUCAGACUAUUGUUCGAACUGCUUGACUCGAGAGUAGCAGAGGUAACUGGAAUUUCUAGUGUAGGAGUGAAAUCCGUAGAUAUUAGAAGGAACACCAAUGGCGUAGGCAGGUUACUAGGCUAUUUCUGACACUGAGGCACGAAAGCGUGGGGAGCGAACGGG